rnacentral:rRNA from 1 species
CGCGUAGGUGGUAGUGCAAGUCUGGGGUGGAAUCCUAUGGCUUAACCAUAGAAUUGCCUUGGAAACUGUAUUACUUGAGUCAGUGAGGGGAGGGUAGAAUUCCUGGUGUAGCGGUGAAAUGCGUAGAUAUCAGGAGGAAGGCCUGUGACGAAGGCGGCCCUCUGGCGCUGAACUGACACUGAGGCGCGAAAGCGUGGGGAGCAAACAGGAUUAGAUACCCUGGUAGUCCACGCCCUAAACGGUGGGCACUAGGUGUAGGGCUCGUAAGGGUUCUGUGCCGAAGCGAAAGCAUUAAGUGCCCCGCCUGGGGAGUACGGCCGCAAGGUUGAA